AGUCCGGGGUAAGGGCUUUCUCCCGCUCCUUCCCAGGCUCGGUGCCACCGCAAGGCAUUCCCAGACGGCCCAGGUCGAGGUCUGUGCUCGGGCCGCUCGGUGCCAAAUGCCCACGAAACGGACCCGACUCACGAGAGUUUCAAAACGCGGCGUAACACGCGGCCGCCACACACUUUUGCGCUCUGAGGAGAGCAGGGCCCAAGAAACAGUAAACUAUUAGUCCCCAUUGUUGCUGGCAUUCACGCUGUAAACUUGAAGGGAGCUGCCUAAAGAUGGGUAGGUACUGUGGACAGCACGGCAGAGAGAUGGAAAGAAACUGAAUCAUUAUGACAUAGUUAAGCUGCUAGAUCAAUCAACCAUGGAACCUGUCCAACAACUGGACUCCUCGUUACGGAUAGAAUGUGGACGUUGUGGGGAGACAGUUUUGACCAUAUGGAUGAUUAGAAUUCUCUGAGGGAGGUCAGAACAACAAGUAAGAAAGCAUCAGAGUACCUGGAUGAGUUGAUGGAGCACAGCCACUCACCUACUCUGAACCACCUGCCCACCUCCACAAAGGGAUGUGAAAGAGAAGGCCCAGGUGAAAUAGCAGCGGCACAGAGGCAUGCUUUUUUCACGGUGCAGGAAGGAGCACAGGAAGGAGCUUCCUACCCAGCUGACUCUGAAUGAGGUAUACAGUUUCUCCUCUGAUUGGGGUGGAUGAGGAAACAGAAGGCCAGAAUAUUUCGUGAAUUGCCCCGAAAGUCAUUCCUGUUUGGAGAUUGCUUUUAAAGGAAGACGAGAUUCGAUUCUAUGGGAGACUGCAUGUAUCUGAUGAGCGGAGUUUCAGUUUGCGCAGGAAGAUAUCUGAAGAGGAGAUGGAUUAUAAUGUUCAACUCAGGACAACUUCUGCACUGGGUCAGUUCAGACGGGCUUCCAAGAACCGGAAAAACAGAAACGCUAAGAUUUGUACUCCACCUGCUUCAUGCACUGUUACAGUGCCAUGAGCCAGGCGAGGUGGUGGUGCCACCCAGAGGGAGCACUGAUCUCACAAACGGGGCACCCUCCUACAGCGACUUGUUACACAGAGUACAGUGAGGUGGACUCUGGACGUAAUUUUUUAAACGAUAAGAAUUGCUGUGUUUUAUUUCACUCCUCUACCUUUUCCCGUGUUUACUCCCUGGUGUCACUUUUUUUUCUUCCCUGACAUCCAUGCGUCAUGUUUUCCUUUGGUUACUAAACCUACCAGGCCUUUCUUCUCUGAAAAAUGCCUCUGUGCUCCAAAUUCACCUUGGCUUUCCACCAAAACCUCCACUUCUUUCUUUCUGCCUAAUCACAGCUAAGACAGAAAUAUUCUUGGAGUAGGACUGACGACCAGAUCUUGUGUAAGCUUUACAGAAGCACUUGUACUUAACAGCCUAAGUGAAAGUCGUACUGGGUAAAAUCUUGGGCAUGUGACAGAAAGAGACAGGAGGAGAAACAGGAAUUUAAGCACGACACUGUAAACCCUGCUUUUAACAGCAACCCAAGGAAACCUUCAGUAGCAGGAGGGUGAGUACAGUAUGGAGGGGAAUUAUCUGCAUAUUUAAAUUCGAGAAGUUAUCUGAGUCUUCCACUUGGAUUAGUAAUUACAAUUUAUUUACAUCUGGCUCUUGGAAUAUUAAGUCUAAUCUUUUGGGGGCCUAAAUGGCCUCAAGAUGUGUAGGUAUUACAGCAAUAAUGUAAUAAAGUUUGAUGAUUUGUAUAUUCAAAAAAGCUGGAAUUACUAGUGAGAAUUGCAAUUUAAUUGUAAGAAUGUGUUAUCGAUGUGUGAGUCCAAAUUUUAUUGACAGACCUAGAAAAUUGUUACAAUAACAG